rnacentral:SRP_RNA from 1 species
GGCCAUGUAUAGUGGUACAUGACUAUAGGGUCUGUUGCUGGAGAGGAUGAGGUUGGUGAAUCACUGGGUUUCAAGAGUUCUGAACUGCGAUAAACCUAAAGCUGCCUGGGUGUCUAUACUAAGUCCAUCACUACUAUGAUGAACUUCUGGAAGUAGAGGACCACCAGGCUGCCUAAGGAGAAACCAACUGGCCCAGGUCAAAAAAUGGAGCAGGUUAAAGCUUCCAUGCCAGUCAGUAUUGUGAUCAGGCUCAUGAGUGACUGUUAUACUUCCAACUUUGGUAAAAUAAAGAGAACUAGUAUUA